rnacentral:rRNA from 1 species
CCUACGGGUGGCAGCAGUGAGGAAUAUUGGUCAAUGGGCGCGAGCCUGAACCAGCCAAGUCGCGUGAGGGAGGACGGCCCUACGGGUUGUAAACCUCUUUUGCCGGGGAGCAACGGGCGUCACGUGUGGCGCCACUGAGAGUACCCGGAGAAAAAGCAUCGGCUAACUCCGUGCCAGCAGCCGCGGUAAUACGGAGGAUGCGAGCGUUAUCCGGAUUUAUUGGGUUUAAAGGGUGCGUAGGCGGAUCGUUAAGUCAGUGGUCAAAUUGAGGGGCUCAACCCCUUCCCGCCAUUGAAACUGGCGCUCGUGAGGAGAAGAGAGGUAGGCGGAAGGCGUGGGGUAGCGGUGAAAGGCAGAGAUAUCACGCAGAACCCCGAUUGCGAAGGCAGAAUGCCGGCUUCCAACGGACGCUGAAGCACGAAGGCGUGGGGAUCAAACAGGAUUAGAUACCUUUGUAGUC